rnacentral:rRNA from 1 species
CAAUAGCGUAUAUUAAAGUUGUUGCAGUUAAAAAGCUCGUAGUUGGAUUUCUGGUUGAAGCGACCGGUCGGGCGUUGAUUCGUCUGCACUGGAGUCGGUUUUGGCCAUCCUCUAGGAAAGUGCGUCUGGUAUUAAGUUAUCGGGCGUAUGAUCCUGGUCUUUUACUGUGAAAAAAUUAGAGUGUUUAAAGCAGGCCUUCGCCUUGAAUACAUUAGCAUGGAAUAAUAAGAUAGGACUUUGGUCUAUUUUGUUGGUUUGCAGACCGAAGUAAUGAUUAAUAGGGAUAGUUGGGGGUAUUUAUAUUCCGAUGUCAGAGGUGAAAUUCUUAGAUUUUCGGAAAAUAAACUUAUGCGAAAGCAUUUACCAAGGAUGUUUUCAUUAA